UGUAAGAGGCGUUUUUUUAAUGGCGUCAGUUUGUUGCAGAGCGUAUUUUAGAAUACAGGCAGUAAAAGCAGCUAUAUAUUCGUGUAUUGUAUUGCUUUGAUGAGGAUUCUUCGUCCAUCACCAUGUUGGAAUUGUUGUUAAAUCCGUCACAUCAAUUUUUUAAAUUUAAAUUUGAAGAUGGUUCAUUUGAUGUUGGGCAUGAUUCAGUAUUUUCCAACCACCCUGGUGAAAAAAUGUCUUCUGAAGAGGAAUAUAUUCUCUACUGGCCAAAUGAUUCUUCAGUGUCAACUCGUAAAGUCAGCAGGAAAACAAAAUGCAGGAGAUUGGCUGCAAGAGUCAUAUGAAAAAUUGUCGUUGAAGUAGGGCAUGCAUCGACAUGCCAUGACAUGCCUAUCCCAGCCUGGCUCCGGAGCAGCUAUUUAUCAUCUCUAAUCCUACAUCACACACAAAAAAAAAUCAAAUCAAAUUUGUUAAAAUUAUUUAGGUACCUUAUACCGGCUGUUUACCUUCAAAUUCUAAUAAUUUUGUCGCCCAAGUACCAUUCCCCUUAACAUUCCAAUUUAUUAUGUUCUGUUUCCAAAACGAUUUCCAAUGUCAGUUGUUAAAAAGUUUUUUUUUCAAGGUGUUCUAUACGGUGAUGGGAAAAAAUGUAUCUCCCCCCUUAUUUCACGGGGAAUUCCUUUGAAAUACAAAGUGGUCUAUUGGUUAAAAAAUA